AUGACUGAAUCAUCAUCACCACAAAGAUGUAUCCACAUUAGUGCACAUGAUCUCUUUUUAGGACAGUUGUAGCUUACAAAAAGUUUUUGAACCAAAAAUUUUCUGUCUGGAUAAAUACAUGAGUAGAAAUACAUUAGGUGCUUUAAAAAACUUUAUGCUGCAUCUAUGUCCUCUACCAGCAGGUAUGUUCCUGGUGCCCAGCUGUGGUAUGUGAGGUGGUUAAAGGCGCUGACAAUUCUCUGGAAAAAUAGAAGCAAGGGUUAUCAGUUUCAAAAAUGAAAUUCAGCUGAAGGAAUCAGAUCUCAACAGAUCUGAUUUUCUACCAUCUGUGGCAAAAAUCCAUGCUCCACAAAUUGGGGUCCUUUUAAGAUACUUGUCAAACAAUUUUUUUUUUUUUUUUUAAUACGUAAAGCCUAGAAACUAUUUGCCUAAAGUUUCCUAAAGUUUCCUGGGCUUCUGUCUACACCUGUAUCUAUUGUAAUGCCCACCAUCUUAUUCAUCAUCUUGGGGCUUUUUCUUUUCAACAUUGGUGAUAAAUACAGAGUGUUAAAAAGGUCUUGAUUUGGUAAUGGUUAUUAACACAGUUCCUGCUGAAGCAGUUCUGUUGGAUACUACGGAUUGGAAAUUAUAAAUGGUAAGAACAGGAGAGUAGAUAACAUUUGGUAAUAUUUUACCAAAAUUUCAUCUUUUUCACUGUUUCAAUACCAACUUCAGGUAAAUGUAAUUACCUCUGUGAUAAAAAAAAUUAGAAAGUUUCAUGGGUUACAGUUUUUGUGUAUAAUCAGACCCAAACACCAAUUUGUGGCCUUAUCAUGCUGCUUUCUCCUUGCUUCUAUAUUAAAAUGGAAAUUUUCUGAGCUUUUGUAGAAACUGCUACACUUUUUCCCUGAACAAGAAGGAUGGUGUCUCGGGGAGAGCCCUGAUGGUGUCUCUGGGGACUUGGAUGCCGUUUCUUCUUCAGGAUCUCUCUGCUGUAGGACAAGCAUUUUACAUAGCCCUGUUCCUGGGUUGCUGCCUCUGAGAUAAAGAGACCUUCCAGGACUGGAAGACUGGCUAAGGCUGAACACUGGGUUCAGGAGAGUGCUUGGAUGGCCUUGCUGUUUGUUCUGGGGAAAUUUUAAUGAUCCAGGAGAACGUGUGGAUGACACAAAGCAUCACACAGCCUUGACCCAACAGGCUGAUUCACUGCUGACAAAAAGCAGUGUAGCUGCUCAGCUGUGCGCUCUGUGGAUCUGGCCCCAGCAAGUGGUAGCCACCGGUCUAAACUGGAAUGUAUAAGCUGGCAUGCUUGAUUCUCUCUGCAGCUUUGAAACCCCUUGGUUUGGCUGGGUGCACUGCUGCCCGAGACCUUUCGACUGUUUGCAAGCGUGGGGCCAGAAGACACGGAUGCAGGUCAGGAACGGGGACCCAGCAGAAGGCUCAGAAGACUUGAGCUCAUGGGAUGCUGGUUCCGGGCUAUGGCAGCCAGAAGGACCAUCAACACCAGGACCACGAAGCUCAACCCUGGUAACGUGAUGAUGGAGUCAAAAUGACUGCUUUGCCUCAGCUAUAUGUAUCUUGGAGCUGGAUUUUUCUAUGAAGUCUGUGGAAGCUUGUUACUAUGUUAAAUGCCCAGCUUUCAGUAAAUCCACACCUGAAGUAAAAAACCCCAAACACAACGUAACCAUGACACAAGGUAACUAUUAUGUCCAUUAGAAAAAGACAUUUGUGUUGUUGACAUUGGAAAGGAGGAUGCAAUCUUCAGACAUCCAUGCCAGUAUUUUCGGUAAGAACAUUUUUAUUGAAAAGUAAAACUAGGAUUGAGCUUUGUUUGGUUGAUUUUUUUUUUUUUAUUUUUGUCCAAAUAGAAACUUCCAAAAAGGAAUCCAAGUGAGCGCUAUAAAUUAUUUUAUAAAACAACUGUAGGUUAUAUAUUACAAAACAACUAAACGAAACUAACCAGAAAGCCCUGGGAUUAAGCAGAUGAGAAGCCCAUUCCAGAUGGAAAACAGCUCAAGAGCCAGAGCUGCCCAGAGUCCAGAAUGCUCUGUCAAAAUUAGGUUAUAUUAGUGUACUCUUGAAAAGGAGGUUUGGAAAAGAGGCAGAGUUAAGACAGCAGUUAUACUGUGUUUGACAGGCUAAAUGGAAUACAUUUCCUAGCUCCAAAUGGCUGCACAGUGCUCCUGUAAUGGGUGUUUUGCUCAAAGCAUAAUGAGAAGAGGGAAAAUUAUUUCAUUUGUCCAGACAAUAAUCAAUCACUUCCAGGAAAAGAAGUCUUUCAUGAUUUUCCAACAGCCAUAGGAGUUGUUAAACACAUUAGUUAGUUGUACAAAUUGCCUUAUGAAAGAAAAAAAUGAAAAGUUAUUGUUAUUAGAGAAACAAGAUGCACAAAAUUAAUCUGUAAAUUUAUAAUCAUUCUUAGUCAUUCUGCUGUCUUUGUGCCUCGAUACAUGCCUUUAUUCUUUAUUGUCUCUAAACUGCCAAUAGCUGUAAAAGCAUGAAAGCAAUAGAAAGGAUGGAGAAGUCUCACAAGAAAAGGGAUUUUUCAUCUGGCAACAUGUCCAGCCCAAAAGCCAUAAAGGUCUUUCCUGAAACUUUAGGAUUGCAAAAGUUUACUGAGUUUUGCCAGAUUACUUGCUUCUGAUGGAAAUUCCCAAAUGGUACUGGUGGUUUCUGGACAGUGAUAUAAACUAUUACACAAGGUGAUGGUAGGCAAAUGAUUACAAAGGACUUGCACAGCUAUGAUAUCCAAGAAUUUCUGAGUGCCUAAAUCUGUAUUGUCUUCUCUAGUCAUGAGAAUAUUAUCACUCCCAAAUUUAAACAGCAGGAAAGCUGAAUCAUAGGAAAGUCAGUCUUGUUCCCAUUGAAGCCAACACUAUAAUGCCUUUGGUGCAUGGGAUGCAAGACUGAACCUGGGAUAGUCAGGAUUUGAUUUUGCAUGCCUAUGAGCACUUAAAAAAAAAGGGCAGAGAAAUUAUCCUUUAUUUCAGGGCAGAUGGGCUGCACACUCUGAAAGCCACUUUACUCAGGGAGCAUAAGAAUGGAUUCAGUACUUCUAUCUUUCCUAGACUUUCCAGGGGCUUGGACAGGGGGAAAAAAAUAAUGAUCCCAAACUAAUCUCCCCAAGUCCAAAAGAAAAAAAAAAAAAGAUGUCCGUGAACCACGUAAAAGAGAGGAAGUUAGUGGGUGUGCUAAUUAGCAGCUUCCAGGAGUCAUUUCACAUCCAGGAAUUUCCUACAGGCAACAUUGUGUCUAAAUGCAAAGCUCCGAUAUUUUGCAAAGGCUCCUGGAAAGGCCCCCUGCGCAGAUUAAUACCAGGUAAAGUUGUUACCGAAGCAGCGAUGGAUGGGGAGACUCAGCUGUGGUCCUGAACAAGCCUACGCGGCGCUGCCCUGCUUUGCAGGUGGCAGGGAAGUCGUGUGUCUGGCGUAGGGCGCUCCUUUCAAUGCCACCUCAAUCAGUCUGCUCUCUCGGAAAAGACUGGCUUCAUUAAAAUAGUAAGUCAGUUCGGAAGCAGAUAGCUCUAAUGCGUAGGUUUAGGUAUUACGUGACUGCGUGUCAGUUUUACGGACAUAAUCCUGCAGUUUUAACUGGGCUUCUUAAUUUCACCUAAAAAAAAGCCAACUGAAUUCCUCCAACCCCAUUUAAUACCCAUCUCUGUGUGCAGCUUCACUUUAUGUUUCUUAUAACAAAAAGGCUUUUAAAGUUGAUAAAUGGCUGCAAAGAUUUUGCUUUUACUUUGUUGCUUUUCUGUUUAUUUAACCAAGAGCAGUUCUUUUAGUCCUGACCUCAGCCUUGUCAAAUAGACUGUGUUUGUCAAACUGCUCAUGCUCCCAUUAACUCCUAGCUGUUUCAAUUGUCAUGUUUGAUGAAUGGCUCAAAUACUGCUAGCAUCAUUAAAAGCAGGGAUACUGAGGGAAGUAUUAUGUUAUGCUGAGUCCAAAUACACACCAUAAAUAGGAAAAUUCCAAGCAAAGAAAAUCUUUUAUUGCAUAAAGGAAAUUGCAAGUGGUUUAAAACUAAUCUCUUUUAAUGCCAUCUUUCAUAUGUGCAGGAGACAAGAAAAAGCCCCUCAGGUUUCAUGGUCGGUAUUAUCUCUUUAUGGUUGAAGAGCAUUAGUAGCUUUAUAACCUUAUUUAUACAGAGUUCCUGCGAGUGUUUGGGUCUGCUUGGGGGAACGGGCCUGCUUAGCGCGAAGAGAAGCGACAGAACCGUUCCCACAGCGCUCUGUAGGUCCAAAGGGUCUGUCCCUUCCCAAAACAGAGCCCGCUGUGGCUGUAAGCCAGGGCUUCCGCUAAACGAAGCCGUGCAGCACAAUUGCUCCGCGUUAUUCCCCCGGCUCCGAGACUGAGGGAGGCACAGCAGCUCCGGGGUGCACGGUGCUGGGCGUCCUGGCCCCCAUCCAGCCGUGCCCCGAGCUCUGCCCGCCUGAGCGAUGCCACAAGCAGCAGAGCGCAGCGGUGGGCUGUGGGCUCCCAGCCAGUUACCCCUGCCAGGGCCGGGGGGGGGCAGCUGUCCCCACCGAAACCGUGCUCCUGACGGCUGACUGCACCGCCUGGAUUCAAACCACCCCUCUCAGCCCACACACCCGUGGUAUGACUGUAUAUAAUUGUGAAUGUGUGUUUCUAUCCUGAGGUGCAUCAGUCAUGUGAAUUCUCAGCCCACCCAGCUUCACUGAGCACUUCUGUCUGGAAACAUCUUGGGAGCAGCUUUCUUCUGAGCUACCUCUUGCUUGCUGCUUUUGCUUGAGCAUCCUAGAAAUUCAGGGAACUUCUUGACUUCAAAGAUUUACAACUGAGCAUCCCAUAUGGAACAUCUGAUUCUGGUUCCAGUGAUUUUUCCCUGGUGAGAAGACCCCGGUAAGCAGACCUGGAGCAGUUCCCAGGCUUCCACGCUGCACGGUUCAAGGGCAUCUGAUCAAACAGGCUCUUUUAGAGCAGAAGACUUUGGGAUUUCUGGGCUUGGAGACAGACUGUUUCAGAGCUAGGUGCCUAUUCCCUCUCCUAGAGAAUUUUAAAGGAAACAAAAUUUAACACAUUGAAAUACUUAGUGAAGCAGAAUUGUUUUUUUCUGCUCUGGACUAGAUGGCUGUUACUACAGGCACCAUUACAGAAUGCUAUGUUAUAUUGUCUUUUAUGAAAUUAUGGAAAAUAAUUAAGUAGAAAAGCAGGGGGGGGAAAGUCUAAGCAGUCAGCAGGCAGAUCUCUCUCUCUCUUUUUUUUUUUUUUUUUUUUUUAAGCUUGGAUAGUGUCUGGUAUUGCUUUCCACCAGGACACUGGGAUGCUUUUUUUCCCUAAUGAACUUUUUACAUCCGAGAUGAAAUACAGAUUCUGUGGACAAUUUAUUAAGAAAAACACCAGUUUCAUGUGAGCAGUUUUCAGACCAACAGGGAAUUUAUAUGUGGAAAUCAUAUAUGGCUAUAGGGAAACACCUUGUAAAAAGAAUGACUACAUGGUCAGCAGCUG